rnacentral:rRNA from 1 species
AUGAACGCUGGCGGCGUGCCUAAUACAUGCAAGUCGAGCGAACGGGCGAGAAGCUUGCUUUUCUGAUGUUAGCGGCGGACGGGUGAGUAACACGUGGAUAACCUACCUAUAAGACUGGGAUAACUUCGGGAAACCGGAGCUAAUACCGGAUAAUAUUUUGAACCGCAUGGUUCAAAAGUGAAAGACGGUCUUGCUGUCACUUAUAGAUGGAUCCGCGCUGCAUUAGCUAGUUGGUAAGGUAACGGCUUACCAAGGCAACGAUGCAUAGCCGACCUGAGAGGGUGAUCGGCCACACUGGAACUGAGACACGGUCCAGACUCCUACGGGAGGCAGCAGUAGGGAAUCUUCCGCAAUGGGCGAAAGCCUGACGGAGCAACGCCGCGUGAGUGAUGAAGGUCUUCGGAUCGUAAAACUCUGUUAUUAGGGAAGAACAUAUGUGUAAGUAACUGUGCACAUCUUGACGGUACCUAAUCAGAAAGCCACGGCUAACUACGUG